AUGUCUUCGUCAUCAGGCGCUAUCUCCCAGCCUAGCCUGAAUGGCCAGGUCACCGAGAAGAUUUCCCACACAAACUAUGUGCUAUGGCGCACGCAGAUCACGCCGCAACUGCAUGGCGCCGGGGUCUUCAGCUACGUCGAUGGCACCCUGCCAGAGGCGGCCAAUCUCCUCACCACCAAGGAGAAGGAUGGCAAGGAGACGUUCACACCCAACCCUCUCCACCCAAUCUGGGUCAGGGAGGACCAACAGGUGCUUGGCUACCUACUGAGUAACCUCUCCAAGGAAGUCCUCAUCACGGUAACCACGGUCACCACGGCGGCCGCGCUCUGGACGACUCCGGCGGCCAUGUACUCGUCGCAGUCGUUGAGCUGCAUCAACAAUAUCCACACCUCCCUCAUCAAUGCCCAGAAGGGCAACCAGUCCGUCGCCUCCUACUUCGUCGUGAUGAGCGGCCUUGCGGACGAACUCGCCGCGGCCGGCAAGCCGAUCUAG
rnacentral:rRNA from 1 species